UCCUAAUCUCUUAGUAAAAUUCAUUAUCAAUUAAGGUUUAAGCACUCAAAUCCUUUAAUCACACUCAAACAAUUUCAAAUCUCUAAGAAUUAUCAAGUGCUCAAUUAACCUAGAUCAAGAAUCAAUUUCCUAUUCUCAUAGCAAAUUGAACUAACAAAUCAUCAAAUAUGUGAUCAAGAUACAUGAAGCAUUAAGUACAAGUAUAAAUUGAUUAAAAAGCAUUCAAAUCCAUUCAAAU
rnacentral:lncRNA from 1 species